CCCUUUUUUGCAUUGGCCAUUAAAGGGCAAUAUCAUUUCAGUUUCAUGAUUGGCUACUGUAAUUCGGCCAACUAGAGCCUUCUUGUUUCUUGAUAGUUUCACUUAUUUCUCCUUAUAGGGAUCUCUUCCUCUUAGUGCCUCUUGAAGUGCUUUUCUAGCAAGACUUCCCUGAUAACUCGAAUAAAAUGAAUGUUGUUUACUUAUUCAUGGAUUUCAUGCAAAAUGCAUCAGGUAUCUUCUACAUACUAAAAGUCAAAUGGAAGUUUGGAGUUUAUUUAAAGAAUAGGAAAUGAAAGUCUCAAACUUCUGUUUCUACAUGGAAUGUCUCAACUACUCAAAAAGUUCAUUCCAAAAACUGCAUGGCUAUAUUUAUAUAGUAGCUUUUUGAUCCUAUUGGCUUAGUCUUGCAAAUUUUGCCAAAAUGCUUCCACUUAUGGCUCCAAGUACAAGUACAAACAUUGAUAAUAUUUUUUGCAGAUCUCUUUAACCUAGAGGCCUUGCAAAAACCUUAUGUGGUUCACCACUAUACAUGGCUCCCGAAAUAAUGCAACUUCAGAAAUAUGAUGCUGACGUGGCAUCCACCUUUUCUUAUAGAAACACUUAGGACUUUUUUUAUACGUUCUCCUGUUAACCUUGUGAUUGGGACGUAAGGCUCGGUUUGGUUUGGUUUGGUUUGGUUUUGGUUCUCCUGUUAACCUUGAACUGGAAAUGCAGGCAGAUCUCUGGGUAAUUUAGUUUUGUUUAAAGUUCUUUUCAUAGAUUGUUAGUCAUCGGGGAUUAGUUUCUUUUCAUAAUGUGGUUUAAAGUUCUGCGUUUCCUAUAAAUUCGUUGGCUUGUUAUGUCAGUAAGUUUUAAUGCUCUGUCAAUCUUACCUGAUUCACUUGAACAUUUUCAUCUCAUGCGGAUCAACCGAGUUGCAAUUUCCUCCAGAUCGAAGCAAUUUGAGUUUGGAAUGCAUUGAAUUGUGUCGAAAAUUGCUGCGCUGUAAUCCAGUGGAGCGGCUAACAUUCGAAGAGUUUUUUAACCACCCUUUUCUGUCUCAGAGGCAGUCAAAUGAAUUGUUGAGGAAUAGAAGGUCACCAAAAACAAUAGUUGGUUUUCCUUUUUCUGAAUACAGUCCAGUGAGGAAUGCAGAAGAAGAUUCCGAAGAAGAUAAUCUUCCCUUUAGCCUUGACGAUGUUUCCAAUGGACCUGAUAGGAGCCCAUCCUUUGUUAGGAAGCCCUCAAUGAAGUCCAUUGUUAGAUUUUCUUCAGGGGGAUUUGUUUGAAGCUCAAGUUAGGGCUUGAAUACCUUUCUUGAUUGAGAGAGGACAAUUAGAAGAAGAAGAGCUUGUCUGAAGUUGUUCAGUUUCUGCCCGAUUGGCGAAUUAGAUACAACAUGGGCAAGACUCACUGGGCCAACAUCUCUUGUGACAUCACCAGAUCAAUUUCUACAAGCUUGCUCCCUCGAGGAACUGGAAAUCAAUAAUGAGCUGCCUUUGCUGUUCCAAUGAUGAUAUGCAAUGGCCUUCUGACAAUGCACAGUUCAUGGGAAAUAAUGCAUCUGAUGUCGAACUCAGAGGACUGUGUGUGGAAGUUGGAAAUCAGCUGACAAGGCAAUAAAAGGAAUUAAUCAAAUUGAGACCUCCAACCUUCCGAGGAGGAGCAAAUUCAAGCCAUCCCAACUGCUGCCACAAUUUCAGAAAUAUUCAUGAUCAUUCUCUUCAACGAGCAUGACAGACAUGCCUUACUGAAGGACGGUUAGAUUUAGACUAACUUUUAAGGAUGGUUAGAUUCAAAGGAUUUGAAACUGGAAACCUUGUAGGAGUGAUUACUCGGAUUUGGAUUUGACUAUGCCUAUAUUUUGUGCUUGCUGUGGA